rnacentral:tRNA from 1 species
AGAAAGGUUAGUUUAAAUUUUGUAAAACAUUGUUUUGUCAAAACAAAAAUAUAUUAUUUAUACCUUUCUA